rnacentral:rRNA from 1 species
UUAUGGCUCAGGAUGAACGCUAGCUACAGGCUUAACACAUGCAAGUCGAGGGGCAGCAGGAACUUAGCUUGCUAAGUCGCUGGCGACCGGCGCACGGGUGAGUAACGCGUAUCCAACCUUCCCCUUAGUAGAGGAUAGCCCGGUGAAAAUCGGAUUAAUACUCUAUGUUGUCAAUGCAGGCAUCUAAGUUGAACCAAAGAUUUAUCGCUAAGGGAUGGGGAUGCGUCUGAUUAGGUAGUCGGCGGGGUAACGGCCCACCGAGCCAUCGAUCAGUAGGGGUUCUGAGAGGAAGGUCCCCCACAUUGGAACUGAGACACGGUCCAAACUCCUACGGGAGGCAGCAGUGAGGAAUAUUGGUCAAUGGGCGAGAGCCUGAACCAGCCAAGUAGCGUGCCAGGAAGACGGCCCUAUGGGUUGUAAACUGCUUUUAUAUAGGGAUAAAGUGCAUCACGUGUGGUGUUUUGUAGGUACUAUAUGAAUAAGGACCGGCUAAUUCCGUGCCAGCCGCAGC